rnacentral:lncRNA from 1 species
AGGCCACUGUGGAGGCACUACUUCCAGAACACGCAAGGGCUUAUCUUUGUUGUUGAUAGCAAUGACAGAGAUCGUGUUGUUGAGGCAAGGGAUGAGCUCCACAGGAUGUUAAAUGAGGUAAAUCCUAUUGAAAAGGCCGCAUUCAUGUUUCUCAUUAUCUGUUGCAUGGUAAAUCACAUGCAGCCAUCUCAAAUUUUCUUGGACAAUGGCGGUGAAAUUUUGUUGGAGUGUUCUCUCUAGCUAUGUUCAAAAUGCCACCUGGAUCUAUUAAGUAUUAAUUGAUUCCAGAGCAGUGCAUCAUCAUUGACUUCUGUAUGCAAAAGUUGUGUAAUGGAUUAAGUUUAAAAAAAAGGUGUGCAGUACGGGUGUCCUCUCUAAAAUUAAGAUGGUAAAGCAUGGCAUAGACCGCAACCAACAAGGUAUUGGAAUUACUUGAUCUAAAUGAUGGGAGAUACUAGACAUUUUGUGCCACUGGUGAUAUUACCUACAGUUUCAUAAUCAAUUUGCUAACAUCUAAGUUUGCAACACUUAACUGAUUAAAGGGUCUAAAAUUAAGAUGGUAAAGCAUGACAUAGACCACAACCAACAAGGUAUUGGAAUUACUUGAUCUAAGUGAUGGGAGAUACUCGACAUUUUGUGCCACUGGAGAUAUUACCUACAGUUUCAUAAUCAAUUUGCUAACAUCUAAGGGCCUGUUCGCUUCAGCUUAUUCAGCUGGCUUAUCAGCCACCAAACAGUGUUUUCCUCUCACAACAAAUCAGCCGUUUCAGCUUUUCAGCCGGCUUAUAAGCUGAAGCGAACAGGCCUCUUGCAACACUUAACUGAUUAAAGGGCUAGUGUACAUACUAAAGUAUACUGUAUACAACUAACAUUUGCUGAAUUUGGAUUGUCCUUAGGUGUAGACCUUAAGGCCUAGCGCCCUAGCCAUGACUUUUUUUUGGGAUAUCAUUCAAUCUGACAUACUUAUUUGUAUGUGCAGUAUUUUUGAAAGCAACAAAUACACAGCUGAUAUUUACUUUUCAGAAAUGAAGUGUUGCCUAGGCAACCAGUAGGGGGAAAAUCAGGUCUUAAAUGGUAUAUGAGUUUGCCCUGUGUGCUCAUUUAAGAGUACUCAUUCCAGGGCCUGAAUAUCCUUCUAGGAUCUUGUGUUUUGCAGUUACAUUUGUAUUAAGGUGCAUGGAUCUAACAAUCUAUUUGAAUAAUUAUUAUGGUGGGAUAAGUUUUGAGUGUUCAUUCACAUGGCAUUGGCAGGAUGAGUUGAGGGAUGCUGUCUUGCUCGUUUUUGCUAACAAGCAAGAUCUGCCAAAUGCAAUGAAUGCUGCUGAGAUUACCGAUAAGCUUGGUCUCCAUUCCCUUCGCCAACGCCACUGGUAUGAUAUUACUGAUACUUUUGUUGCAUGUGAAACUGUUCUUGCUUUGCUGUUUUAGGCCAAUCUCAAUGUGGAUCUUCUGUAGUGAAACUGUCAAAGUUUUGCCCGUGGGUUCUAUCUACAAACUAAUUUAUCAGUGGCUUUGCCUAACCUGAUGUACUUUAUUGUCACCUGUAGGUAUAUCCAGAGCACCUGUGCUACCACAGGAGAAGGUUUGUACGAGGGUCUUGACUGGCUCUCCAACAACAUUGCAAACAAGGUACCUAUUUCUUUUCCAUGUGCCAUUAUGACACUUGUUUGUGAAAGCAUCUUCAUUUAAUCUGCAACAAAUUGGACUAUUUUUGUGGAGUGGCACCAAUAUGCUUGUGGUCUAAUGAUCCUUGUUCUCAUGAACGCAGGCCUGAUUGGACAAUUCUGUGGGUUCGUGGAGU